rnacentral:rRNA from 1 species
CCUACGGGUGGCAGCAGUGAGGAAUAUUGGUCAAUGGACGAGAGUCUGAACCAGCCAAGUAGCGUGAAGGAUGACUGCCCUAUGGGUUGUAAACUUCUUUUAUAUGGGAAUAAAAUGUUCCACGUGUGGGAUUUUGUAUGUACCAUAUGAAUAAGGAUCGGCUAACUCCGUGCCAGCAGCCGCGGUAAUACGGAGGAGCCGAGCGUUAUCCGGAUUUAUUGGGUUUAAAGGGACCGUAGGUGGAUUGUUAAGUCAGUUGUGAAAGUUUGCGGCUCAACCGUAAAAUUGCGGUUGAAACUGGCAGUCUUGAGUACAGUAGAGGUGGGCGGAAUUCGUGGUGUAGCGGUGAAAUGCUUAGAUAUCACGAAGAACUCCGAUUGCGAAGGCAGUUCACUGGACUGCAACUGACACUGAGGCUCGAAAGUGUGGGUAUCAAACAGGAUUAGAUACCCUAGUAGUC